GUCGGGGUAGCCUAGCCUGGUAAGGCGAUAGACUCGAGAUCUAUUGCGCUUGUUCGCUCGGGAGUUCGAAUCUCCCCCCCGGCG
rnacentral:tRNA from 1 species